rnacentral:rRNA from 1 species
GACAGAGGAUGCAAGCGUUAUCCGGAAUGAUUGGGCGUAAAGCGUCUGUAGGUGGCUUUUUAAGUCCGCCGUCAAAUCCCAGGGCUCAACCCUGGACAGGCGGUGGAAACUACCAAGCUGGAGUACGAUAGGGGCAGAGGGAAUUUCCGGUGGAGCGGUGAAAUGCGUAGAGAUCGGGAGGAACACCUGUGGCGAAGGCGGCCCCCUGGGCCGGCCCUGACACUGAGACGCGAAGGCGUGGGGAGCGAACGGG